GCGCCCGUAGCUCAAUUGGUAGAGCAGGUCCCUUUUAAGGACAAGGUUCCGCGUUCGAUUCGCGGCGGGCGCACCA
rnacentral:tRNA from 1 species